UGGGGAAUAUUGCACAAUGGGCGCAAGCCUGAUGCAGCCAUGCCGCGUGUAUGAAGAAGGCCUUCGGGUUGUAAAGUACUUUCAGCGGGGAGGAAGGGAGUAAAGUUAAUACCUUUGCUCAUUGACGUUACCCGCAGAAGAAGCACCGGCUAACUCCGUGCCAGCAGCCGCGGUAAUACGGAGGGUGCAAGCGUUAAUCGGAAUUACUGGGGGUAAAGCGCACGCAGGCGGUUUGUUAAGUCAGAUGUGAAAUCCCCGGGCUCAACCUGGGAACUGCAUCUGAUACGGGCAAGCUUGAGUCUCGUAGAGGGGGGUAGAAUUCCAGGUGUAGCGGUGAAAUGCGUAGAGAUCUGGAGGGAUACCGGUGGGGAAGGCGGCCCCCUGGACGAAGACUGACGCUCAGGUGCGAAAGCGUGGGGAGCAAACAGG
rnacentral:rRNA from 1 species